GGGUGGAUUCCAGCGGGGCGGUGAAUGAGUACGAUCUGGGGACACCGCCGGGAGGAAGCCUCCUGGCAAAAUGACGGUGAUGUGGUAAGAAUGGGGGCAACAGGAUGAAUACCACCUAGUACUCCCGCAAAGACGUCGUCGACCGGAGGUCCCCCAGGAGGCGUGCUUCAGCAGCUACCGCAAAAGUCGACCCCGGGGGAGUACGGCAGCAAGGUAAACCUCAAAUGAAUUGAGGGGGGCCCCCACAAGCGGUGGAGCAUGUGGUUUAAUUCGAUGCAACGGGAAGAACUUUACCUACUCUUGACAUCCAGAGAACUUUCCAGAGAUGGAUUGGUGCCUUCGGGAACUCUGAGACAGGUGCUGCAUGGCUGUCGUCAGCUCGUGUUGUGAAAUGUUGGGUUAAGUCCCGCAACGAGCGCAACCUUUAUCCUUUGUUGCCAGCGGUCAGGCCGGGAACUCAAAGGAGACUGCCAGUGAUAAACUGGAGGAAGGUGGGGAUGACGUCAAGUCAUCAUGGCCCUUACGAGUAGGGCUACACACGUGCUACAAUGGCGCAUACAAAGAGAAGCGACCUCGCGAGAGCAAGCGGACCUCAUAAAGUGCGUCGUAGUCCGGAUUGGAGUCUGCAACUCGACUCCAUGAAGUCGGAAUCGCUAGUAAUCGUAGAUCAGAAUGCUACGGUGAAUACGUUCCCGGGCCUUGUACACACCGCCCGUCACACCAUGGGAGUGGGUUGCAAAAGAAGUAGGUAGCUUAACCUUAGGGAGGGCGCUUACCACUUUGUGAUUCAUGACUGGGGU
rnacentral:rRNA from 1 species